UUUUAUGAGAGUUUGAUCCUGGCUCAGGACGAACGCUGGCGGCGUGCCUAAUACAUGCAAGUCGAACGCUUCUUUUUCCACCGGAGCUUGCUCCACCGGAAAAAGAGGAGUGGCGAACGGGUGAGUAACACGUGGGUAACCUGCCCAUCAGAAGGGGAUAACACUUGGAAACAGGUGCUAAUACCGUAUAACAAUCAAAACCGCAUGGUUUUGAUUUGAAAGGCGCUUUCGGGUGUCGCUGAUGGAUGGACCCGCGGUGCAUUAGCU
rnacentral:rRNA from 1 species